GACGAACGCUGGCGGCGUGCUUAACACAUGCCAGUCGAACGGAAAGGCCCUGCUUUUGUGGGGUGCUCGAGUGGCGAACGGGUGAGUAACACGUGAGUAACCUGCCCUUGACUUUGGGAUAACUUCAGGAAACUGGGGCUAAUACCGGAUAGGAGCUCCUGCUGCAUGGUGGGGGUUGGAAAGUUUCGGCGGUUGGGGAUGGACUCGCGGCUUAUCAGCUUGUUGGUGGGGUAGUGGCUUACCAAGGCUUUGACGGGUAGCCGGCCUGAGAGGGGGACCGGCCACAUUGGGACUGAGAUACGGCCCAGACUCCAACGGGAGGCAGCAGUGGGGAAUAUUGCACAAUGGGCGGAAGCCUGAUGCAGCACCGCCGCGUGCGGGAUGACGGCCUUCGGGUUGUAAACCGCUUUCGCCUGUGACGAAGCGUGAGUGACGGUAAUGGGUAAAGAAGCACCGGCUAACUACGUG
rnacentral:rRNA from 1 species